ACCAUUGCCAACCAGCACCGGAUGUAGUCUCAGUGGCGGCGGAGGUGACGCUCCUUUCCCCCUUCCGCUUUUGUAACCUCGUCUCCUCCGAGGCUGCCGCUGGAAGCGCUGAGAGAGGGAAAUGGCCGCCGUGGAGUCGGAGCUGCGCGAUGCAGACAGGUACCCAAUCUAAUGCACCUUAAUACCUUCUGAUGAAACCGUGAGAUUGGAAGCACGGAGAAACACGUUAAGGAUUCCAUACAAACACCUGCAGGCUGUCCGGAACUCCUCUAUGCCAGAGGACGUCUUGGAGGAAUCACCUAAAAUCAGCUUUGAGAGUGUGCACCCUCCCUCCGUGGACGCUGCUGCUAUCGCCGCUCCCGUCAGAGAACUUCGGCACAAGCCGUUCAAGAUCAAGCCGCACUGAGGUUCCAAUACACGGCUGUGCAUGGAAGAUGCAGAUAUUUCUGAUAAGAGUGGUAUUGAUGAAAAUGGAGAGGUUUCAGAGGUCGAUCAGCCCCAGAGCAAGCACAGUAAACACAAGAAAAAGAAACACAAGCAUCGAAGCAAGCGCAAAAAACAUAAACAUUCUCCUGAAGAGGACAAAGACAAAGACAAAAAACAUAAACAUAAACACAAACAUAAGAAGCACAAAAGGAAAGAGACAGGAGUUAUUGUCAGAGAUGAUGGCUUUCUGUCAAAGAGGGCAAAUCUGGAUGACUUUGCUUUGCUUGAAGACUUGGAGAAGCAGAGAGCUAUGAUUAAAGCUGAACUUGACAAUGAGUUGAUGGAGGGUAGAGUGCAAUCUGGCAUGAGCUUAAUACUGCAGGGUUACAAUUCUGGUUCUGAAGAGGAAGGCGAGAUUAAUGAAAAAAAUCGCAAUGGGAGAAGGGUAUCAACAAAGUCAAGUGUAAAGGCAAGGCAAGAGCUUGACUCAAAAACGAUUUCUAAGAGGAGGAGUAGGAGUAAGUCAAAAGAAAAAACUAAACACAAGUCUGAAAAGAAAAAAAUUAAAGUUAACUCCGAAACUGCUAAAGAAAAAGUACCCAGAAGUAAAUCAAAGGAGCAAAGAAAAUCUAAAAGUCCUUCUAAACGAAACAGAUCCCAAGAUCAGCUAAAGAAGUCCCCAGGUUUACGAAGGCAAUCCCUGGAAAUAAACACAAUCACAAAGUCUCCUACAGAUGACAGAGUAAAAUCAAGAGACCGGAAGAAAUCUCCUGUAGCCAUUGAAAGCAGAACUAGAGAUCGUAUUAGAAAAUCUAGGUCUCCUGCUCCCAGAAGAAGCAAAUCCAAAGAGAGGAGGUCACGGUCAAAGGAACAUAAGCCCAGAAGAUCAGAUUCAGAGAGAGAGAAAAAAUCUCUUAAAUCUCCAUCAAAAGAUGCCUCUUCAGGGAAAGAAAACCGCUCACCGGGUCGUCGAACAGUCCGCAGCCCAAAGGCAAGAAGUGUAACUCCGAAACAGCGUGAUAGGGCUCUGAGGCAUAGCAGAUCUCCACUGGCUCACGAUAGGAAGACUAAGCAGAGCCCACCUCGAACACAGUCUCCUACUCGGAGAGCAAAAAGCAAAUCUAUAGAAAGGAAGAGAUGGGAACCAGAGCGGAGGCGAUUAUCUUCUCCUAGAUCGCGAGCCAGAGACGAAGGUCUUAUAAGACAUGACAGAGCAAAAGAAGCUAGCCCUCCUCGGUGGUCCCCUUCUAGAAGGCGUUUAAGCAGGUCUCCUGGAAGAAGGAGGUCACGGUCUCCACUGAGACGUAGCAGAUCUCCUAGGAGAAGAAGCAGAUCUCUUCACAGGAGAGAUAGAAACAGAAGAAGUAGAUCACGUCUUAGGAGGAGAUCACGUUCCCGAGGAGGACGAAAUCGUAGAAGACGAAGUAGGAGCAAAGAUAAAGAAGAUAAAUUUAAAGGAAGCCUUUCUGAGGGAAUGAAGGUGGAACAAGAAUCCUCUGAUGAAAACCUUGAAGACUUUGAUGUUGAAGAGGAAGACGAAGAAGCUCUAAUUGAGCAAAGACGCCUGCAGAGACUAGCGAUUGUAGAGAAGUACAAGUACUUAAAUGAAGACAGCAAUAUGUCGGUGACCUCUGAGCCAAGCAGUCCCCAGAGUAGUGCACGGAGUCGGUCGGCUUCACCAGACGAUAUUCUCGAGCGGGUAGCAGCAGAUGUUAAGGAAUAUGAGAGAGAGAAUGUUGAUACAUUUGAGGCAUCUGUAAAAGCCAAACACAACUUAAUGGCACAGAAUAAUGGUGCUACACAGAAGAAAAUAUCUGCCCCUGACAUGUUCACAGAAUCUGACGACAUGUUUGCUGCAUGCUUUGAUAGUGCUCGUUUUAGAGCUGCUGGCAUUGGUAAAGACUUCAAAGAAAAUCCCAACUUAAGGGAUAACUGGACAGAUGCUGAAGGCUAUUACCGUGUCAACAUAGGUGAAAUAUUGGAAAAACGGUAUAAUGUGUAUGGAUACACAGGUCAAGGAGUCUUCAGUAACGUCGUACGUGCUCGAGAUAUGGCAAGAGCAAAUCAAGAAGUUGCCGUCAAAAUCAUCAGAAACAAUGAAUUAAUGCAAAAGACUGGCUUAAAAGAAUUGGAGUUUCUGAAGAAAUUGAAUGAUGCGGACCCAGAUGACAAGUUUCACUGUUUGCGGUUGUUCCGUCACUUUUACCAUAAACAGCAUUUGUGUCUAGUGUUUGAACCUUUAAGCAUGAACUUGCGAGAGGUUUUGAAGAAGUACGGCAAAGAUGUAGGCCUGCAUAUCAAAGCCGUGAGGUCCUACAGCCAGCAGCUCUUCCUGGCCUUAAAACUUUUAAAAAGAUGUAACAUCCUUCAUGCUGACAUUAAACCUGACAACAUAUUGGUGAAUGAGUCCAAAACCAUUUUGAAACUUUGUGACUUUGGGUCUGCAUCACACGUAGCAGACAAUGACAUUACACCAUAUCUUGUAAGCAGAUUUUAUCGAGCUCCUGAAAUCAUAAUUGGGAAAAUGUAUGACUAUGGAAUAGACAUGUGGUCUGUGGGAUGCACCUUGUAUGAGCUCUAUACUGGAAAAAUCUUGUUCCCUGGAAAAACCAACAACCACAUGCUAAAAUUAGCUAUGGAUCUGAAAGGAAAGAUGCCAAACAAGAUGAUUCGUAAAGGCGUAUUUAAGGACCAGCACUUUGAAUCAAACCUUAAUUUCACGUACAUUGAAGUUGAUAAAGUUACAGAGCGGGAGAAAGUUACUGUCAUGAGCACUAUUAACCCAACAAAGGACCUAUUGGCUGAUUUAAUUGGAUGCCAGCGGCUUCCAGAGGAGCAGCGGAAAAAAGUGCAUCAGCUAAAAGACUUGUUGGAUCAGAUCCUAAUGCUAGAUCCAGCUAAACGAAUAAGCAUCAACCAAGCACUUCAGCACCCUUUCAUCCAGGAAAAGAUCUAAUUGUGGCAAAUGGUUUGAAUAGGACUGAAGACCUUCCACAGCAGCUUGUUAAUGUAUAUAACAUAUAAAUAUUUCCCUUGCACAGUUGAGGAAGCAUGUAUUUGAAUUAAAACCAUGGGUUUAUUUUACUUCCCCCCCCCCCCCCCCCCCCCGCCCCCCAAUGAACUGUUUAAGAAAUUGUGAUAUCUGUACUUUUCCACAAUAGGAACGCUUGUAAAUGGGCAGAACUGUAUACACAGUCGUAAUGCAAUUUGCUUGGAAAAUUCUAUUUGGGAAAACAAAGUUGCAAUUUAAUGUUUGGAUGUUAAUAUUUUAUUUUUUAGCAGUCACGGCUCAUUUUUAAAAAAAAGAAAAGAAAAUUGUUUUGAGAGAAAACAUGUCCAGCAUAAAUGCUGUUUAUAUUCACGUUUUCCUAGGUUGUGUGCCUGAGCAGCAUGCCCUUGGUCUAGUCAGUGCCGAAGGGGGACCUAUUCCUUCUUGAACCUGCCUGCAGGGAUGGUCUCCUCUUUUAAAGCAGGUUGUGUACAACUUACAGUACACUGAAGGUAAGCCAAAACCAUCAACAUCAUCGGUAUUUUAAGUCUGUGUAAAUAUAUAAAUAUAUAUUGUCAUUUGACAAAUUAGAGUUUGGUAGCUAAUUGCGGCAGCAUUCUGCCCCUGCAUGUUCCACAAGUGUUCCUCAGUUUUUGUUCUUUUGUAAUGUUUUGAGUUGGACAAUAUUUGUGGCAGAUUCAAUCCACACUAACUCCUUUCUGCUAAAGUGGAGCGUGUGCACUUGAUGGAAAGGGCGUCUUCAGUGUACUGUUUGUUCAUUUUUAUUUUGUUCUGCUGUUUUGUUCAGUUUUACUUUUUGGUUUUAUUUUUAAGUCCACAUGCUUCAUAUUAAAAGUUUUCUCAACAACAAAAAAAUAUCUGCAAAGAUACAGUCAAAGUUGGGGCAAAGUUUUUUGUUUUUUUGUUUUUUUCAUGUUUAAACACUUGACAAAGAAGCAUUUAAAGUUCUGUGUAUUGAAAACAAAUGUAUGUAACUGAACAGCGCGAAAGGGGCAUCCAUUUUAGUAUGAAACAUCUUGUAAAUGGAUCUCCCUCUUGCACUGUCUGCAGUACCUGGUUAAAGUGUUUAAUUUGUUCUUCGUUUUGUUUAUGAUCAUGUUGUCUUUCAAUACAGGAAUAAACUCCACUCUUGAACAAAAAAGCAGCUGCUUUUUAAAAGCGGAAAAUGGAAAGCAAGACAAGGCCUCGCAACGGCUGGUUUGCUGCGACACCACCUUCACCUUCCUCACAAGGUCAUUCCUGACAGCAUGUGUAGAUAAGCAUUUAGCGAAAACUACAAUCCAAAUGGAUUUGUUCAGUGGCAGUCUCCUAUCAAUAGCUGGUGAAUACAAGUUUGUUAAAAAAAAAAAUUCUGUUCUGGACACAAAACUUUGGUUAUGCUUCUUUUGGCAUACAUAUUUAUAGUGCUAUGGGAUUCCUGUGGCUCUUUUGGUAUUUUGAGUUGGCACCAGAGCAUAUUUUUCAGUUAAUAGAAGUGCUGUCAGCUGAUCUGGCAUAUAAAUAAUGUUAGUGCGUUGGGCUGUCCGUGGUACAUCACUAAUAUGAGAAGAUUGGUUUUUAACACUCAAAAGGUAUUCCCUUUAUUUGUACCUUGAAGAAAAAGUAAACGUUAGGGUUUGUAGGAUUACUACAUACACAAAUCUUUAUCAGAUGUAAAUGUAGCACAUUAGAAGAAUACAAAAUGCAGAUUUAUCUGCAUUUCUAUUUGCUGUUUGCAAAAGGAUAAUGUUGCUGGUUAACCUGUCUCUUUUGUUUUAGAUGGUGUUUGAAAGAGGAAGAUGGCAAGAAGAUCUGAACCAAGGUUUCUGUUUACUGAAGGAGAAUGAGUGAUUUGCAUAAUGACCUCAAAGUUGAUAAGUUUUCCUCUAUAUUCAGAUUUUGAACAUGAGACAUAAAAUAAUGUACACAUUCUGCAUACUGUACAUCUAGUGAACAGUGUAGCAUAUAUACAGUAUGCUAGGUUUAGUGGGAUAGAUAAGCUUAAAUAUUUGUAACUCUGAACUUGGAUAUAUUGAGAUUUUUUUUUGGUAGAAAGUAGGACCUUGGAAGAUCCUUUCCUGUGAAAGUGGAUUCAUAGGGGGGUAUUCGAUGUCAGAUCCUUUAAAACGGAAAGGAUCUGACAUCUCUGUAUUCAAUAAGCGUUCCAGAUAAUGCCAAUCUGACUUUUUUUUAAAGUCGGAUUAACGUUGUCGUAAACGGAGACAAAACCUGUCCGAUUUAGCUGCGGUAUCUGCCGAAACACGUGGAUCCGCGGCUAUUCCGUCGAUCCACGUGUUUUCCGACAAGUUGGAAUUGCAGACUUGUUGGAACAGUUUCCGUCCUAAAAAAGUUGGAAACUGCCGUCUUUCCGACAAGACUGCAGUUUCCGACUACAAUUGAAUACCCCCAUAGUCUCUGUUCUGCUAGUUGGGGGUGUAGGAAUUAGUUUCUGAAAACAGGACUGCUUGUGAGAGAUUGAAACUCCAGGCACUGUAGUUGUGCCUUGAUUAUAACCUCACCUGCCACAUACAAUGUGCAUCCUUGUCCUUAGGUACUUGAAUAAUUUGACAAUGUCAAAUUUGCUACAUCAGACCUCGCUUGCUUCUCCUUGUUGCUGACUGGGAUUAAAAGUGAGACCAUAAUGAGCAGGCCUUGGUAAAAUAGAGGGUGUUCCAGAAGUGCUCACACCUUUUAUGUCGCUAUACAGGAAACUGGCUUCCUACGUUCCCAUUUAGGGGUAUAUUCAAUUAGUGUCGAAAGCUGCCAUCUGUCGAUAAGACGGCAGUUUUCGACUUUUUAAGGUCGAAUCGUGAUUCGACAUAUUCAAUCCCCAGCAUUUUUAUUCGACAUGUCGUGAAUUCGACUUGUCGAAUAGUACGUGAAUCGGCGGUAUAAUUGCCGAUUCAUGUACUUUUAAGGGAAACAGGGCCAAAUUCGAUUUGGCCACGUUUCCGACAAUCUCACUCCGACAUAAAAAAAUUUCGGACUGAAAUAGGGACUGUGGAGGAGAGGGGGGAGAGCAGCAUCGGAGGAGACCAUGGGGGCUCAGGGGGAGAGCAGCGCCGAAGGAGACG